CUCAAAGCCAUUCCGUGUUUGAUGGGCGGACAACACCGUCAGUUCUAAUCCCCCGCUAACCCACCCAGAUCAAAUAAAAUUCCCCGUGACGUCGCCAUCCCAUCGCCGCCGCAGCCCUGCCGGCGUCGCCGCCCUACAGCCCCUCCUCCUCAUCCCUCCCAGGCGACCAUACAAGCCCUCUGAGGUGUCCGCUGCCAUCUGAGGUCCUCGCGUGGUGCCUUCAACCGCUGCAGGAGCAGUUCAUCAUUCAUGAGUUCGAGCUCUAGAUGAUCUGAGUCGUCGGCGAACCUCCAUGUUUUAUCUUCCAUCCUUCCCUUCCACCCGGCGAAGUAGUGCUGCUCGAUCCCCAGUUCCCCACCCGUCCCCCCUCCAUCCCAGUGCUCCGUAAAAGACAGAUCCGCGGAGAUUGCCGAGACGGUUGCAAAUGCGGGCUUUGGAGAUAGAUCAACACUGCGUAUUUGCUUCCUGGAUGAAGAUGCUCCGUGAAAUUGCCGGAAGCUUAGACAUAAGAGAUUCGUUUCAAUUAUACUACGAGACUACCAUCCAGAAAUCGGAAACUCUAUAUUUUAUUUGAACAGCACAACCCUCUUUUAUUUGAACAACAGAGUCAUUACUCAUCCAUGCAUUUUUCAUCUUUUGCAGCUUAGGCUUCAGCUAUUUCGAUCAACAGAUGUGGAGGCGUGUCCUGCUGUGUGCUCUGGAGUCGCAAGGUUCGGGCUCAUCUCAUUGAUGUUCUAUUCUUCUUUCAACAGAGAGAUUCCCUAGCUUAAUUUAUCCCUUCAGGUAGAUUAUGUGCUCCCUAUACCUGAGAACACUUCUAUAUUAGGUAUCCAGGAUGAACUCACCCAAAUCCGUUUAGACUAGAUGAUUCAGUGGUUAUGAAUUUCCGCAAAGCAUAGUUUAAUCUGGCUCUAAUGCAUAUUGUUUUUGAAAGACAUUGUUUCUAUGUUCAUAUUCUGACAAAUUAGUGGUUCGCGUGGA